rnacentral:rRNA from 1 species
GACGAACGCUGGCGGCGUGCUUAACACAUGCAAGUCGAACGAUGAAGCCGGAGCUUGCUCUGGUGAAUUAGUGGCGAACGGGUGAGUAACACGUGAGUAACCUGCCCUUGACUCUGGGAUAACUGCGGGAAACUGUAGCUAAUAACGGAUACGACCCUCGGAGGCAUCUCCUGGGGGUGGAAAGACUUGCGGUCAAGGAUGGACUCGCGGCCUAUCAGCUAGUUGGUGAGGUAACGGCUCACCAAGGCGACGACGGGUAGCCGGCCUGAGAGGGUGACCGGCCACACUGGGACUGAGACACGGCCCAGACUCCUACGGGAGGCAGCAGUGGGGAAUAUUGCACAAUGGGCGCAAGCCUGAUGCAGCAACGCCGCGUGAGGGAUGACGGCCUUCGGGUUGUAAACCUCUUUUAGUAGGGAAGAAGCGAAAGUGACGGUACCUGCAGAAAAAGCACCGGCUAACUACGUGCCAGCAGCCGCAGUAA